GGACGGGGCCGGGCGCGCGCGCGGGCGCGCCUGGGUGUGGGUGCCGCCGAGGGCGGGGCGGCGGUGGCGGCAGGUCCCGGAGCGGGGCGCGCACCGCGGGGCACAGGCGGCUGGGGGCCUUGUGACGCCACAGGCCACGGAGGGGGAGCCGCCCGGGAAAGUGGGUGCGGCCGAGUUCGCGCAGGGGCGGGGCCGGGCGCCGGGAGCUGGGCGGUGUCCCCGGGGGGCUCUGGGUUCCUGGAGGGCCUCUCCGGGACUCGAGGAAAACGACCUUUUCCCUUGCAGCGGCGGGAGAGGGCGAAGUGGAGGACUGCUGCUCGGUUCCGUAUCCAAAAGAGACCCAAGGCUCCAGGCAAAAUAGAUUGGACAUUUUCACUUUCUCAAGCCAGGGCCACCGGUCGCCCAACCAGCAGCCACUGAGGGUGGUAUCGGGGCGCCCCUUCCCCUGGCAGCGUAUUUCAGCCCCCAGAGACAUCCCCCACCUCGGCCAUCCCCAGCGCCUUUGCAGGGACAGCAGCACAACCAUAGCAGAGGUCCUGGGCAUCCUGGAAAUAACGUGCUGGUAUAAAUGUUGGAUUGAGAAAGGAAGAAAAAACAUUUGGGGUCAAUUUGGGGCCCUCUCGUUUGACACGGGAGGAAACACAAGGCCGCAGCGUUGGGGGAAGCUGCUUCCUUUCUCUCUCUUCUUUCUCUCUGUCUCAGGUGCUUCCUUUCUCUUCUCUGUCUCUCUCUCUCUCUCUGCCUCUCCCUCUCUCUCCCCCGUCUCUCCCCCUAUCUUCCCCUCUCUCCUCCUAUCUCCCCCUCUCUCCCCCUCCUUGUGGCUAGGUGAUCUGGCUCAGAAGUGCACGUUGGCCCGCGCGUGCGGGGAGCUGAGAAGCAAGAGAUUGGAACUUUGCACGUGUCAAGCAAGGUUUGGCCUGCUUUGAAGACAGUAAUUUCAGAGCCACUCCGGUCUCUGCGUCACAAGCGGGCAUCAGGGCAGUGGUGGGGCGGCAGGGGAUCCUGAGACCUCCCAUGCCCUCUCUUUGGCCCCGGUGCUUCUGGGUGAGUGUGGGGAGAGAGGAAAAUAGUUGUUUAUGCUUUUCACCAUUUGCAUUUUUAAAUUUUUGUCUUCUUUAAUCUUCCUGGUCUUACUUUUACUCUAGAAUGACAGGUCCUUCCCCCCCAUACUAAGGGUUCUGUCUGCGGAUGCAUCAGGGCAUCUCAUAUCCCUUUACUGGCAACCAGCCUGCCUGCACAGGAUGGAAGGGAGGGCAAUUAAAUUCCCUGCGUCAAGGGAGUCUCUAGGGGAAUGUUCUGUAACGCUCCUCUGGGUGGCCAUUGUAAACCUCUGUGUAUACACACGUGGAAUCCAUUGAUCUGUACAUUCACUGCAGGUGUCUGCACUUUACUGCUUGUAUGUUGUACUUCAAAGGAGUUAUAUUCCCAGAGCCCAGGCAAAGGCUUACUGAGCACCUACCGAGUACACAAAGCAUUGCUAAGCUCUGUGGAUGCAGCUUCCACCCACAGGAAGCUCCCAGUCUGAUGAGGGCCCAGUUACAAUUGUGAUAUCUGCCACAGCGAAGAAGCCUUCGCUAAGUGCUAAGAGAUUCCUUACUUAAACUGUGCAUCCAAAAUUAGGGGAGGAGUGGAGGGAUCAGGUUUCAAGAGCGUUUUGUAAUAAAUGGCCUCUGCCCUAAAUUGUAGGGCCCCCAUUAGUGUGGGGAUUGGGGACAGGGGCAAUAACUGCUGUUGGGAAUUCAACAGGAGAGGAGGCAUGGGGUUGCAGGUGGAGACGCACAGUUCCUUAAGUAACUCACCAAAGGGAAUAGUGGACAUUGAAUGGUCUCUAGUAACAGGAGGCUUGGUUUUUAACUAAAGGUGAUACAGAACAUCUGGCAUUUCCGACUCCCCUUCUUAGGAGUAUCCUGACAACCCGAUGGAAAGUGGCCUGGGUGUCAAGGAAAAAGCAACGUGGAAACAAUUCAGGUUUCUUCCAUAUAAGAGAGACAAUCUUUUCCCAGGUGUGGGUCCUCCCUCUUGGCAGUAGCGGAGAAGUUUUUGAAAGAUAAAUGAUGCUUUUAUUGUGUCAUUUGGCCUUUGUUUGGCGCUUGAUACAGCCCAGGGUUUGCUAUUCUAAAAUCUGUCACUAGACAGAUGUGUGCUGCAGCCAGUGUGGAGAACAUGGGGCAGGAGAGAGGAAGAACCAGGUGUCCCCGUUCCCCAGACCAGUGCUGAUGUGCUACCAGAAAUGGGUUUGCAAGAUUAAUCACCUUCCUCCUGCUUCCCUUGAAUUCUAAUUAUUGUUGUCAGGAUCUGUUGAAGUAGUAAAAGCUGCUGGCAACCAAGACACAUAAAAGCUAAGCUCCAGUUGCUGUGUGUGGUUUCCAACACUUAUUUAUUAUCUCUGUUUAAUAAUAAACCUCCUUCCCCACAGCUAUGUGUUGUAAAGUCUAUCCUUUCUCUCUCUCUCAAAAUUACUAUGGAGAAAAUGCUAUGCAACCUGUUUUGCAUAAAAGGCUGGGCUAAUUAACCUUUCCUUUUCACCUCCGACCUCUAAUACUUACAAACUGUAUGACAGAAGUAGACACUGGCAUAGACAUACAAAUGGUGCUGCUGGGUGGGAUUUUGUUGUUGUUUUGUUGUUUGUCUAAUGAUCUUUGUGAUGCUUGAGUAAUUUAUUCAGGGCUAAGAUUACAGAAACAUAAUGCUAACAAUGGUUGAAAUCAACCUUGUCCCCUAGUUUUAAGAACACGCCACAUUCUUGAACUCCUGCAAGUAAUCUUACUAAGAUUCUCUUCUGAAAUUUUAUUGCUAUAUAUUAGGAACAGAGUGAUUAACACUAGUGAGCUAGAUGAUUUGACAAUAUAUAUCUGAGAAAAGGAAACUGGAAACGUGUCUGAGAAAAAAAAAAGUUCUAGCUACUGAAUGAGAGUUUAGAAAAUGAGACAGCUCCAGUAAAGAAAGUCCAAAUGCACAUAAGAACUCUCUAACAGAGGCCACUCACUUUUCUCAUCUAAGAGUAUGUGGAAAGCUUGUAAUAGGAGAGGAAAAAUUAUGAAUAAUUAAUUCCCACUAUAGGAAGUCUCCUAGGGCAAAAUCAAGCUAAGACUUAGAAUGAUGGGGAAAAGCCCCCUAGUCAUAAUAUUUUGGGGAAAUUUCUUUUCUCUACAAUAUUAUAUAUUAGAAUCUUACAGUAGCUCCAUGAUUCCUUAAACAAAAGGAGGCUCGUUGAUAUGGUUUGGCUCUGUGUCCCCACCCACAUCUCACCUUGAAUUGUAAUAAUCCCCACGUGUCAAGGGUGGGACCAGGUGUAGGUAAUUGAAUCAUGGGUGCGGUUUCCCCCAUGCUGUUCUCGUGAUAUUGAGUGCUUGCAAGAUCUGAUGGCUUUAUAAGGGGGCUUCUCCCUUCACUCAGCACUCAUUCUCUCUCCUGCCACCCUGUGAAGAGAUGCCUUCCGCCGUGAUUGUAAGUUUCCUGAGACCUUCCCAGCCAUGCGGAACUGUGAGUCAAUUAAACCUCUUUUCUUUAUAAAUUACCCACUCUCAAGUGUUUCCUCAUAGCAGCAUGAGAAUGAACUAAUACACUUGUGUAUAUGUUGUAUCGUUUAUUAGCCUGCAGAUAGAAUUUUUUUUGUGUUGGUACUUUUAUUAAACUAAUUCUACCCUCCUCCCCUUGCUAUAUCCUCUGCUCCUUAUUCCUAAGUUUCCAUAAUUUUCUUCUCACUAAGAAAACCUGGAUAGUUCACUCUAAGCACAGAUAAAUAAGAGUAUCAUACAGCAUCAGCAGGCACAGAGCAAUUGGAAAGGAAGGAAGAUCAUCUCCCGGGUCUCUAACCUGGCUUCCAAGGCCCAGCCCAGUGCCUGGCUCACAGAAGGAAUUCACUAUUUCUACUUAUGUUGAAUGUCUGUUGUGCAUAUACAGACGGAAAUAUUCAAACUAGCAUAGUCUGUGUUUGACAAGCAUUCCAUAAGGGAUGUGCUUACCAGAAAGAUGGUGGCCAAGAUGUUGGCCACCCAGAUAUCAGUUGGGGUAUUGCUCCCUAAUACCUAAAAGAAGUUUUUUUUUUAAGGCUUCAAAAUGGUUAACUGAAAAGAACGGAGGUCACAUGACAACAUGAGUAUAUCCCCCAAGGAAGCCUACCUGUCUAUCCCCAGGAAUCUGAACCAGCAGACAAAGCACUGUCGGGUCCUUGCUGCAACCUCUUCCCCCCACCCCCUUUGAUGGUCCUGGUUCUGCAUCAUUGUACUUGCGUAUCAUUCACUCAUUAUUUCAUUGCUUCAUUCACUAGUCAUCAGCCAUUCCUGAAAGACUGACUGUGGGCUUCUGGUAAGAUGAACAGGACUGCUUAUUUCUCUCAUGGUGCUUAGAGUAUAGACAAUGGAUAAAGACCCUGAAGAAGGCGCUGGGCAAAGGGAAUGGGGAAGCAUGGUGUGCACAGUCUGGAAGCAGGAGAGGAGCCAGCCUGGCCCUGGUUGGAAACCUGGAGGAGAUCUAAGCUGGAGGAUGGGGUGGGAGGAGCAGGAGGCUACUCACAGUGGGGCUCCUCCUGUAUGAUGCUAGAAGCUUCUGCUUUGUCCUGAGAGCAACAGGGAGCCAUGGGUGGGCUUGCAGCAGGACACAGAGGGGCUAGCCUGUGUUUUAGAAAGGUAUCUCCAGACCAUGGAGGAUAUAAAGCCUGGCAGAGGGAAGGCACUCUCAGAGACUUUUCCCUUGUCAUUCUCUAGAAUGAGGGAGGAGAAGGAGCCAGUCUGGAAGGGAGGCUGACAAGUUUCAUUUUUAAAAAUUGAUCUGCACUUGGAUAUCUCUGGAGAUGCCAGUAAGGUUGUUGGGUACAGAGGUCUGCAGCUCAGAGACCAGCAGGCAUCCUGAACAAGACAGAUCCAGGCAGACGGAAUGGCCUGUAGGAGAACUUGGCAGAGGGCACAACCAAGAAGAGUUCAAAGGCGCUGGCCAGUUCCAUGCGACUGCAUGGGGUCAUGGGAGAAGAGAUACACUUAAACCAGGGUCCCACAGGCUCAAUGGGUCUCCUUCCAAAAUCAGCUUCCAAUGAGCCCUCAGAUUCUCCAAAUACUGGGCAGCUGGAUUUCCCAGACACCUUCUGCAAUCUGCUGACAUCUAAUAUACCUGUAGACUGUUCUCCUGCUGACAAGGUUGUUCUUGCUCUUAUCCUAUAAAGAAGAGAGGUGGCAGAGAGUUGGAGGGGAGGGCCUCCUUCCCUGGCAUGUCCAUCCGAGGGUCUCCAAGAACAUCCUGGCUGUGGCCCACACCUUUCUGUGUGGUUAGGAGGAGUAUCGGAUGCCUUCUCUUUCCAACCUUGGCUUGUGUGAAGAUGGUGUUAUGGUGAUGUAAGAGGACGGCUCUAUUCUGAGUGAUGCAAGAUCCAACAUUUAGGCAUGAAAUGCCAUGAUGACAGCCGCCUACUUUAGCAAAAGGGAAGUUGUGUGUGUGUGUGUGUGUGUGUGUGUGUGUGUGUGUGUGUGUGUGUUUUUACGCGUAUGCAUAUAAAUAGAGGAAGUCGCUGCAGCUAGAUGGUGAAUCUACGUGAGGAGUAUCUGGCUGUUCCUUGUACUGUUCUUUCAACUUUCUGUGGGUUUGAAAAUUUUCAAAACAAGACAAAAAAUGUUUUUCAAGCACUGUUUGAGAGGAUAGGAAAUAGAAAUGGCUCUUAUUAAAGAGCCAUUCAGAAGACUGUUUUCUUCUAUUUCCUUUUCCCCCACGACUAUGACCCUCAGUGCCAGCGAUUUCUCCUUUCCAUAAACUUUUGUUUGACCUUAAAUCAUUGUGACACCACUGAGCAGGGAAUCUCAAUAAUGGCUGACAUAUCUGGUAGCAAAAGGAAAUGAAGUAUUUUUAUUUUCUCAGGGAACUAAAGGUUAUCUUCUAAAUUCAAAUUUUUUUUUUUUUUUUUAAAGAUGAAGUGUUGCUCUGUCACCCAGGCUGCAGGGAAGUGGUGUGAUCUUGGCUCACUGCAACCUCCGCCUCCCAGGUUCAAACAAUUCUCCUGUCUCAGCCUCCCGACUAGCUGGGACUACAGGCGCGGGCCAGCACACCUGGCUAAUUUUUGUAUUUUUAGUAGAGAAGGGGUUUCACCAUGUUGGCCAGCCUGGUCUCGAACUUCUGGUCUCAAGUGAUCCACCUGCCUUGGUCUCCCAAAGUGCUGGGAUUACAGGCAUGAGCCACUGCACCCAGCCUCAAAUUUCUUAUAUUGAGCUUCAACUAUGCAAGAUCCCAUGAGAGGAAUGAUAUACCAAGAUGAACAACAAUAUGGUCUCUGCCUUCAAGGGGUAUAAAAUCUAACCCAUACAAAUGGGCUCCCAAGCAUUUUUU
rnacentral:lncRNA from 1 species